CAAUGGGAAUGUGCGUUGAGCUCCUCCUUAAGAUAGUGCAGUGGCCAGCCUUCUGCAAUGCUGGACUUUGAAACACCCCAAACGUCGGAUAUGCACUGAAAACUGAGCUGAAGCAGUACCCACUGAGACAUCUUUUCAGAGCUUCUCUUGGAUCCAGAUCCAAGCCUUUCUGUAUGCAAAACCUCCUGGUGCUGCCCAGCUCCUGGCUGCUUCCCUCGUCCUGCUGCGGGUGCCUGGGAGACACUGAAGAGGGAAGGGAAGGAUCUUUGCUUUCAGACACAGAACUUUGUGCCACAGUGGCAUCUAGCUGCAGCAGUUACAGACCAAAUUCCACACAGUCCUUGCAGUCCUGGACUGGGGCAGGUUCCGAAUGACGGGCGCUUCGUAGCGUGCCCAGCUUUCCGUAGUCAGCAGCCCUGGCUGUGCAAAAGUCAUACGAGCUAGUGCUGAGUUUUCCUCUCAGGAGUUCCCCUAGGAUCGGCUGGCUUCUCGCCUGCAUAAAGCUACUCCAGGAGACGCCCGUGGCGUUUGCCAGCGGGGAGGCUGCUGCACAGGGCACCGUGGGACGCCCGGCACAGCAGCGCCUCGGGGAGCCCGCCGAACCCCGCAAAGAAGGUAACAGGACUUCUGCAUUGAAAAGCGUUCUCCAGUGGAUUCC